rnacentral:rRNA from 1 species
UACGGAGGGAGCUAGCGUUGUUCGGAAUUACUGGGCGUAAAGCGUGCGCAGGCGGCUUCUCAAGUCAGGGGUGAAAGCCCCAGAGCUCAACUCUGGAAUUGCCUUUGAGACUGAGUGGCUUGAGUACGAGAGAGGUGAGUGGAAUUCCCAGUGUAGAGGUGAAAUUCGUAGAUAUUGGGGAAGAACACCGGUGGCGAAGGCGGCUCACUGGCUCGUAACUGACGCUCAUGCACGACAGCGUGGGGAUCAAAACAGG